rnacentral:rRNA from 1 species
UUGUCACAUGCUUGUCUCAAAAAUUAACCCAUGCAUGUCUAAUUACACACCUCAACAUGGUGAAACCGCAAAUGGCUCAUUAAAUCAGUUAUGAUUUCUUUGAUCAUGUCUACACAUGGAUAACUGUGGUAAUUCUAAAGCUAAUACAUGCACACGGCCCUGACUUACAAAGGGGCGCUUUUAUUAAAUCAAAAUCAAUCAGGAGCAAUCCUGUUAUUGUGAUGACUCUGGAUAACUUUGUGCCAACCGCAUGGCCUUGCGCCGGCGGCGUAUCUUUCAAAUGUCUGCCCUAUCAACUUUCAAUGGUACGUGAUCUGCCUACCAUGGUUGUAACGGGUAACGAAAAAUCAGGGUUCAAUUCCGGAGAGGGAGCCUGAAAAACGGCUACCACAUCCAAGGAAGGCAGCAGGCGCGCAAAUUACCCACUCCCGGCACGGGAAGGUAGUGACAAAAA